UCCUGGAACUAUUUAUAUACUUUGAUACAAAAUAAAAUCUGGUGAGGCCCUGGAACAGGUUGCCCAGAGAAGCUGUGGGUGCCCCAACCCUGGAAGUGUUCAAGGCUAGGCUGGAUGGAACUUUGAGCAGAAACUCUGUGGAAAAGGAGCAAAGACAAUCCAGAUGGCUGUGAAAGUGAAGACUAUGUGGGAAAUCAUGCAAGAGAUACAUUGCCUGCAGAAUGGGGAAAAACAUUAAAUCUUGGAGUUGCUGAUGCAGCAAUUAAUAUUGCAACCUUCACUGCCUUCAACGCACGGAAGAAAAGGGUCUAAAAGAGUCCAAAAACAGCAGGGUGACCACGACUUCAGCAGGCAUGAAUGGGAGGUGAGGAGGCGUGCUCUAGGACACUUGGCGUCUGAAGACCUCAACUUGAGCAGUAAUUAUAGAAGAACACAGUGUUCCACAGCUGAAAUUCAGAUGCAACCCUUUGGACACCUACAUAACAUUUUUCAGUGGUUUUUGUUUGUUUGUUUUGUUUGUUCUUGUGUUGGUUGGUUGUUUUUUUUUUUUGUCUCUUGUUAGCUUGCUCCAGAGCACACUUCAAGUGCCAAACAGAAGGAAACACUCGAACAGAACUCAAAUACCUGGCUCUCCUUAGUUUGCUUAAAACAGUGGGAUAAUUCCUCCGGUUUCAGCAAAACUCACCCUGAUUUACAGCAGCACAAGUGAGAUUAGUAUACUCUCACUUUUUUGUGUUUUAUGUCCAACACUGUGAGGACAAAAAAAGACCCUUUAUACCUGACCAAGCUGCCUGAAAUGAGACCUUUAAUUUGGCAUAUCCUUAUUAACAGAAAUUAAUGAAAGAUGUAGUAAAGCACACUCAUUCCUCAAAGCAGCAUACAGAGACAAGUAGUUUUAAACACACCUGCUAAUAAUUGUCAGAACAAAAUCUCAGGAACAUAGGACCAGCACCCCAAUAUCUUUGUCUUCUUAGUGGGUACUGUUUUGCUGAGAAAAUUAUGGCUCCUUAGUCAACACCCAUGGUUACUCUUAAAAGCUUUUCUUUUUCACACAUGAAACCGUAAAGUUCAAAUGAGACUUUUUUGACCUCACACAUUUGUUAUUUGUGAGAUGACUAAUAAAAGUAAUUAUCAGUAGUCUUUGACAAGUGGAGUAAAAAUCUGAACUCUUUGAUGUGAGGAGAAAAAUUGUGCAUUUUUAUCAAGAACUUUUAUUUCUUUGGAGAAUUGUCCCAAUGGCUGCAAUUUUAAUAAGUCAUUUCCAAAACUGAAAAAGUGGAGGCCCCUCAGAGAGGGAAAUAGACUUUGCUCAAAAACAUCAACUACAGCUGCCUCAUAACCAGCUGUGAAGGUCAGAAAUUAUUUAAGGAAUGCAUGUUUGCAAACUUUUAAUUAAAGAGGCUGAAGGCCAGUGCUAAGAAGGCAAUCUAAGAAUGAAAUACUUAAAGAAUGAAUUCCCAAGAAUUAAAUAAUAAGCUUAAUUUAGCCUCAGUGUAGAUUUCCACUGGUGUCACAUAUUUGGGAGACUGGAGUCUGCAUGAUGGGAGUGACAAGGUGAAUUAUAACCAGAAUUAUGGUCAUACAAUCAAAAUGUGGAUAUUAGUACUGACCCAAAUGUUGUCUUCUGAGCUGCCUCUUCCAGCAAGAUCAGGUUUAGCAACACUUUUUCAGUGUGAUGAGGCUCAGGGUAGUCACAUCCUUGCCCAGAGAAGUGCAGUCAACCUGAGGCCAACCCAAAACAAAAAAAAUCUACCUCUCUCAAAAGAAUGCCUAAGAGUUUUAUUUGAAUUAGGGUUGAAAUGCUUGGCCAGCAGAUAGUAAAAGGGUGUACACCCAGCACAGAAGACAUGAGACCAUCUGGAAAUCUUCCCUUCUCCCCACCUCCAAAAAAAAAAGAAAAAAUAGAAAAUGAAAUAAAAGGAAAAAAAUACAGUAUGGAAAGUCCUAGUUAGUUCAAUUAAUUAUCCACUGGCCAUUUACUUAAGGGACUCGUUACAAAUAUAUCCUCAUCACAAUGACAGGAAAUCUAUCUGAAAAGUCUGCAAAAAGGCUAUUAAUGAAGAGUGUUUCUAAUGCCUACAAGCUGAAAUACCUUUUCACUCCUUUCACCAGCAGUUCCUGUGGGUCAUUUCUGGGGUCAACAGUGGUGUGCAGAGAGUAAAGACUCUGCUAGUGCUGGAGAAGGGGGGAAAAAAAAAAGAAGAAAAAAAAAAUACUUCAGUUUUGUCAAUCUUUUAUCCUUCAACGAUACACUAGAGGCUGACAUUUAAUACCCUAAGGAUAUAGAUGUUUGAAAGCUGGUUAUUGUAACAAAGGAAACCAUCCAAACUCUGCAAGACCAAAUGGAUCAGAUAAAGCUGACACUGAGAUAAAUCUGUUUUACAUCCAUUCUUGCAAAAGUUUUGCUAAUCUACGUAGUUAUAUCUUUCCUGGAGCAAAAGGGAAGGGAGAGAAAAAAGAACCUUACAUUAUAGGAA